GACGAACGCUGGCGGCGUGCUUAACACAUGCCAGUCGAACGGUAAGGCUCCAGCUUGCUGGGGUACACGAGUGGCGAACGGGUGAGUAACACGUGGGUGACCUGCCCUGCACUUCGGGAUAAGCCUGGGAAACUGGGUCUAAUACCGGAUAGGACCGCACCGUGAGGGUGUGGUGGAAAGUUUUUUCGGUGUGGGAUGGGCCCGCGGCCUAUCAGCUUGUUGGUGGGGUAAUGGCCUACCAAGGCGGCGACGGGUAGCCGGCCUGAGAGGGUGGACGGCCACAUUGGGACUGAGACACGGCCCAGACUCCUACGGGAGGCAGCAGUGGGGAAUAUUGCACAAUGGGCGGAAGCCUGAUGCAGCGACGCCGCGUGGGGGAUGACGGCCUUCGGGUUGUAAACUCCUUUCACCAUCGACGAAGGGUUUCUGACGGUAGAUGGAGAAGAAGCACCGGCUAACUACGU
rnacentral:rRNA from 1 species